rnacentral:rRNA from 1 species
UACGUAGGGGGCAAGCGUUGUCCGGAAUUAUUGGGCGUAAAGAGCUCGUAGGCGGUGUGUCACGUCGGCCGUGAAAACCUGGGGCUUAACUCUGGGCGUGCGGUCGAUACGGGCAUCACUAGAGUUCGGCAGGGGAGACUGGAAUUCCUGGUGUAGCGGUGAAAUGCGCAGAUAUCAGGAGGAACACCGGUGGCGAAGGCGGGUCUCUGGGCCGAUAUUGACGCUGAGGAGCGAAAGCGUGGGGAGCAAACAGG